CCACGAUCCAAGGCUAAAUACUAGACAGCUACCGAUAGAGGAGAAGUACCGUGAGGGAAAGAUGAAAAGAACCCCAGUGAGGGGAGUGAAAUAGAACCUGAAACCGUGUACGUACAAGCAGUGGGAGCACCUUCGUGGUGUGACUGCGUACCUUUUGUAUAAUGGGUCAGCGACUUAUGUUCAGUGGCGAGGUUAACCGUUUAGGGGAGCCGUAGGGAAACCGAGUCUGAAUAGGGCGAAUCAGUCGCUGGGCAUAGACCCGAAACCGGGCGAUCUAUCCAUGAGCAGGUUGAAGGUGCCGUAACAGGCACUGGAGGACCGAACCCACUGUCGUUGAAAAGCCAGGGGAUGACUUGUGGAUCGGAGUGAAAGGCUAAUCAAGCCCCGGGAUGUC
rnacentral:rRNA from 1 species